rnacentral:lncRNA from 1 species
UUGUCGUUUGUUUAUGUGUUACAUAUUUGUUUUUCGUUCAUUUUUUUUACAUAAAUAAGGCCGUUAGUUUUCUCGUUUGAAUUGUUUUACAUUGUCUUAUCGGGGCCUUUUAUAGCUGACUAUGCGGUAUGGGCUUUGCUCAUUGUUGAAGGCCGUACGGUGACUUAUAGUUGUUAAUGUCUGUGUCAUUUUCGUCUUUUGUGGAUAGCUG